rnacentral:rRNA from 1 species
GACGAACGCUGGCGGCGCGCUUAACACAUGCAAGUCGAACGGAAAGGCCUGCUUUCCCUUGUGGAUUGCGGGUACUCGAGUGGCGAACGGGUGAGUAACACGUGAGUGAUCUGCCCCCAACUUGGGUAUAAGCCUGGGAAACUGGGUCUAAUUCCCGAUAGGACUGCAGGGUGGUGCCUGUGGUGGAAAACGAUUUUCUAGUGGUUGGGGAUGAGCUCGCGGCCUAUCAGCUUGUUGGUGGGGUAAUGGCCCACCAAGGCGGCGACGGGUAGCCGGCCUGAGAGGGUGGACGGCCACAUUGGGACUGAGAUACGGCCCAGACUCCUACGGGAGGCAGCAGUGGGGAAUAUUGCACAAUGGGCGGAAGCCUGAUGCAGCGACGCCGCGUGGGGGAUGACGGCCUUCGGGUUGUAAACUCCUUUCGACCGCGAGGAAGCCACCUGGUUGGAAGGGUGGUGACGGUAGUGGUAGAAGAAGCACCGGCUAACUACGUG